rnacentral:rRNA from 1 species
UGGGGAAUAUUGGACAAUGGGGGCAACCCUGAUCCAGCCAUGCCGCGUGAGUGAUGAAGGCCCUAGGGUUGUAAAGCUCUUUUGUGCGGGAAGAUAAUGACGGUACCGCAAGAAUAAGCCCCGGCUAACUUCGUGCCAGCAGCCGCGGUAAUACGAAGGGGGCUAGCGUUGCUCGGAAUCACUGGGCGUAAAGGGUGCGUAGGCGGGUCUUUAAGUCAGGGGUGAAAUCCUGGAGCUCAACUCCAGAACUGCCUUUGAUACUGAAGAUCUUGAGUUCGGGAGAGGUGAGUGGAACUGCGAGUGUAGAGGUGAAAUUCGUAGAUAUUCGCAAGAACACCAGUGGCGAAGGCGGCUCACUGGCCCGAUACUGACGCUGAGGCACGAAAAGCGUGGGGAGCAAACAGGAUUAGAUACCCUGGUAGUCCACGCCGUAAAACGAUGAAUGCCAGCCGUUGGUGGGUUUACUCACCAGUGGCGCAGCUAACGCUUUUAAGCAUUCCGCCUGGGGAGUACGGUCGCAAGAUUAAAAACUCAAAAGGAAUUGACGGGGUCAUAGCUGUUUCCU